AGAGUUUGAUCAUGGCUCAGGAUGAACGCUGGCGGUAUGCUUUACACAUGCAAGUCGUACGGGAGUUUUGAACUCCAGUGGCGGACGGGUGAGUAACACGUAAGAAUUUGCCUUUAGGAGGGGGAUAACAACUGGAAACGGUUGCUAAUACCCCAUAUGCUUUCGAGUGAAAUGGAUUUUUCCGCCUAGAGAGAAGCUUGCGGCUGAUUAGCUUGUUGGUAAGGUAACGGCUUACCAAGGCGACGAUCAGUAUCUGGUUUGAGAGGACGAUCAGACACACUGGAACUGAGACACGGUCCAGACUCCUACGGGAGGCAGCAGUGGGGAAUUUUCCGCAAUGGGCGAAAGCCUGACGGAGCAAUACCGCGUGAGGGAUGACGGCCUAUGGGUUGUAAACCUCUUUUUUCAGGGAGGAAAAAAAUGACGUUACCUGAAGAAUAAGCAUCGGCUAACUCCGUGCCAGCAGCCGCGGUAAGACGGAGGAUGCAAGUGUUAUCCGGAAUCACUGGGCGUAAAGUGUCUGUAGGUGGUUGAAUAAGUCAACUGUUAAAUCUUGGGGCUCAACCUCAAAAUCGCAGUCGAAACUAUUCGACUUGAGUAUAGUAGGGGUAAAGGGAAUUUCCAGUGGAGCGGUGAAAUGCGUAGAGAUUGGAAAGAACACCGAUGGCGAAGGC
rnacentral:rRNA from 1 species